UACGUAGGGUGCAAGCGUUAUCCGGAAUUAUUGGGCGUAAAGAGCUCGUAGGCGGUUUGUCGCGUCUGCUGUGAAAACUGGGGGCUCAACCCCCAGCCUGCAGUGGGUACGGGCAGACUAGAGUGCAGUAGGGGAGACUGGAAUUCCUGGUGUAGCGGUGAAAUGCGCAGAUAUCAGGAGGAACACCGAUGGCGAAGGCAGGUCUCUGGGCUGUAACUGACGCUGAGGAGCGAAAGCAUGGGGAGCGAACAGG
rnacentral:rRNA from 1 species